rnacentral:rRNA from 1 species
UGGGGAAUUUUGGACAAUGGGCGCAAGUCUGAUCCAGCCAUGCCGCGUGCGGGAAGAAGGCCUUCGGGUUGUAAACCGCUUUUGUCAUGGAAGAAACGAGUUUCUCUAAUACAGAGACUUAAUGACGGUACCUGAAGAAUAAGCACCGGCUAACUACGUGCCAUCAGCCGCGGUAAUACGUCGGGUGCAAUCGUUCAUCGGAAUUACUGGGCGUAAAGCGUGCGCAGGCGGUUAUGCAAGACAGAGGUGACAUCCCCGCGCUCUACCUGGGAACUGCCUUUGUGACUGAAUAGCUAGAGUACGGUAGAGGGGGAUGGAAUUCAGCGUGAAGCAGUGAAAUGCGUAGAUAUGCAGAGGAACACCGAUGGAGAAGGCAAUCCCCUGGACCUGUACUGACGCUCAUGCACGAAAGCGUGGGGAGCAAACA